AUGGCCAUGGCAGGAACCCUGGCAGCAGUGUUCCAGGCCUGGGCACCUGACGCCCUGCCCGGACUCUCACAGGGUGAGACCCCAGUGUCACACGCCUCCUCUCUUGCAGAGCCCCCUAAGGCCCCAGACGUCUUCCCGCUGACCAUCUGUGGGAACACACCUGACCCCAAGGUGCCCGUGGGCUGCCUGGUCUCCAACUACUUCCCAGAGCCAGUGACUGUGUCCUGGAACUGUAAUCCCCUGAAAGACGACAUAUACACCUUUCCGUUGGACCUGAGCAACUCGGCUCACCACUCCCUCAGCAGCAUGAUGGCUGUGCCUAGGAGCAGCUUGAACCAGACCUACAUCUGCAACGUAGCCCACCCGGCCAGCAGCACCAAGGUGGACAAGCAAAUCGUCGUAAAAGGCUCCCCCUUCUCCACAUGCCCAGCUCCUGAGCUCCCGGGAGGGCCUUCGGUCUUCAUCUUCCCCCCAAAACCGAAGGACGUCCUCAAGAUUUCCCGAAAGCCCGAGGUCACCUGUGUGGUGGUGGAUUUGGGUCAUGACGACCCCGAUGUCCAGUUCACCUGGUUUGUGGAUGGGGUGGAGACGCACACAGCCACAACGGAGCCAAAGGAGGAGCAGUUCAACAGCACCUACCGUGUAGUCAGCGUCCUCCCCAUCCAGCACCAGGACUGGCUGUCCGGAAAGGAGUUCAAGUGUAGCGUCACCAACCAAGCCCUCCCAGCCCCCGUCGAGAGGACCACCUCCAAGGCCAAAGGGCAGCCCCGGGUGCCGCAGGUGUACGUCCUGGCCCCACACCCAGACGAGCUGGCCAAGAACACGGUCAGCGUGACCUGCCUGGUCAAGGACUUCUACCCACCUGAAAUCGAUGUCGAGUGGCAGAGCAAUGAGCAUCCAGAGCCAGAGGGCAAGUACAGCACCACCCCAGCCCAGCAGGACGGCGACGGGUCCUACUUCCUGUACAGCAAGCUCUCCGUGGAGACAAGCAGGUGGAAGCAGGGAGAGUCAUUCACGUGUGGGGUGAUGCACGAGGCUGUAGAAAAUCACUAUACACAGGAGAACAUCUCCCACUCUCUGGGUAAAUGAGCCACACGCCCGGCACCCGGCGAGCCAUCCCUUCUUCCCCGCCGGCUCUCAGGGUCCAGCAAGGACACCUGAGCCCCCACCCCUGUGUACAUACCUCCUGGGCACCCAGCAUGAAAUAAAGCACCCAGCAUGGCCCUGGGACCCUGCGA